UGGCUCAGGACGAACGCUGGCGGCGUGCUUAACACAUGCAAGUCGAGCGAUGAAGCUCCUUCGGGAGUAGAUUAGGGCGGACGGGUGAGUAACACGUGGGUAACCUGCCUCAUAGAGGGGAAUAGCCUUUCGAAAGGAAGAUUAAUACCGCAUAUGGUAGCUUUAUCGCAUGGUAGUGCUAUUAAAGGAGUAAUCCGCUAUGAGAUGGACCCGCGUCGCAUUAGCUAGUUGGUGAGGUAACGGCUCACCAAGGCGACGAUGCGUAGCCGACCUGAGAGGGUGAUCGGCCACAUUGGGACUGAGACACGGCCCAGACUCCUACGGGAGGCAGCAGUGGGGAAUAUUGCACAAUGGGGGAAACCCUGAAUGCAGCAACGCCGCGUGAGUGAUGACGGUCUUCGGAUUGUAAAGCUCUGUCUUUAGGGACGAUAAUGACGGUACCUAAGGAGGAAGCCACGGCUAACUACGUGCCAGCCGCCGC
rnacentral:rRNA from 1 species